UGAUCCUGGAGUCCCCGCAAUCCUUCUCGAAACUCCUGAACAGUUUGCCAGAGUUGAACAGUUGCCACAAAUUCAGUUCCUUUCAAGUUACCGGAGCAGUGAGGAUCAAGUUGCUAUUCAGUCAAGAGGAUCCAGGUCUAAGGAGAUCCUCGAUCCAGUUAUUAGGAGAUCUGGCAACAUCCCUUGGCCAGGAGACCAAUUUUGAGGCAUUCAAGGAUCGAGUGAGAUCCAAGGGAACCUCAUCACUUUACUCUUGCAUCUAUGCAAUCCAGACGUGUAUGUUGUCAAGGCCUGUAAAAGUACGAUCCAGAAGGUUGGCCCUUAUCUAGAUUAUCCGGAGGUAAACCGCAUGAUCCAGGAGUGUUUGGGCGACGACACCGACUUGAUGUUCAUGGAUUUUAUUAAGGAAUUAAUUAAACGCAUAGAUUUAUGGAAUCAAUGAUAUCAAGGUUAUUUGGGGAUCAAAUCGAGGACGAGUUGGUUUAAAGGUGGUGUCUAAGGGCCAAUCCCGCCCUUGUCAUCGGUUUGUUCUACACCGAACUACUACCCGAGAAUAAACCGAAAGUUUCACUAGAAUCUGUCUGUGAUAAACUGAUCAGACUGAUGCAAGACGAGUCAG